GAUGAACGCUGGCGGCGUGCCUAAUACAUGCAAGUCGAGCGAACGGACGAGAAGCUUGCUUUUCUGAUGUUAGCGGCGGACGGGUGAGUAACACGUGGAUAACCUACCUAUAAGACUGGGAUAACUUCGGGAAACCGGAGCUAAUACCGGAUAAUAUUUUGAACCGCAUGGUUCAAAAGUGAAAGACGGUCUUGCUGUCACUUAUAGAUGGAUCCGCGCUGCAUUAGCUAGUUGGUAAGGUAACGGCUUACCAAGGCAACGAUGCAUAGCCGACCUGAGAGGGUGUUCGGCCAAACUGAACCUGAGACACGGUCCAGACUCCUACGGGAGGCAGCGGUAGGAAUCUUCCGCAAUGGGCGAAAGCCUGACGGAGCAACGCCGCGUGAGUGAUGAAGGUCUUCGGAUCGUAAAACUCUGUUAUUAGGGAAGAACAUAUGUGUAAGUAACUGUGCACAUCUUGACGGUACCUAAUCAGAAAGCCACGGCUAACUACGUG
rnacentral:rRNA from 1 species